rnacentral:lncRNA from 1 species
GGCAUUGGCAUUGUGGAGAUGAACUAGGCAGGUACUCUCCCUCAAGUACUUCCCAGCCCAGAAGGGGACAGGACCACACCUGAGGACUAUCCUAAAGAUCUGAACAGUGGAGACAGAAUGAAGAGAGCUUGCUUGGACAGCUUUAUGUAGCAGAGCUGGUACAAGUGACUUAGGCCUUGAAGGGUGUAGCCCUAUACAACAUCUGACUUUGGAGCCUGGCACCACAGUGGCAAGGUCUGGAGCACUUUGCCUUACUUUCUGGGCCUCACUGCUGCAGACGGAACAAUGACGGACCCAGUGCUCUGAGCACACUCCCAAACAUUGAGAAGUCCUGGCUCAACGUGAGACUCCUUUAUGAGCUGACGAAGAGAUACUCAGUGUACCAGAUCAGUAGGCACAUAGGGAAUCUGGGUACUGGGAUCUAAGUAGUCUGGAGACUGGGUGGUCCUCACAUCUCUUUCUCCCCUGUUGAGGCUGAAGAGUUGAAGGGUAAGGGCCAGCCCAGUUGUGGCUGCUGGCUUUGGGGCUCUUCAGCCACUGGGGAAGCUCCAGGGAAAAGGAUGGUGUCCUUAAGAAACAGCAGCUUAGGUCUGGCCCGUUUUCCCUAAAGCAGGGAAAGCAAGUUGGUCCCAACAACUCACGGGACCAACAACUGCACCUUCCUGUCUGUUAGAAGCUGCUUCUUCCUGCUUUGAACAUGGAGAAACUGAGGACAGAGAAAGCCUUGGCAUACCAUCUAGUCCAGCUCCCUUUUUGGCUCUGAAGGGAAGAAAGCAGGGGAUAUAUAAAGACAUUCCUGGCAUCUUUUUAGCACAAUAAUGUUCAUGUUUUUGGAAGCAAAAGUUGUCUUGAUUUUUACCCAGACCAACCAGGACUCCUGAGCAUCAUUCAAGGAAUUCUCUGGUCUCUAAACCCAAGUCUAAAGGCAGCUGAUUUAUCUGAUUUAUCCCUGGGAGCCACACCCAGCACAGGGCCAAGCACAAACACAAGAUCACAUGAACGAGGACAGUGAGUCACUUGGGAUAUGGAGAGACGCAAGAGGAUCAGAAGUUUGAGGCCACCCUCAGGAACACAGCAAGUCUGAGGGCAGCCCGAGCCACACACGCUUCUUACCAAGAAAGGAUGAAGCCAAUGUUCCCACUCUAUCCUAAAAUAGGCUGCCAAGCACACCCAAGAAUGUGUCCUGUGACCCCACACUAGAAGACCUUGACACUCAGUAUGAUCGCAUCACGAAGCCUGAUCUAUACCCAAGGGUGGGAACCGCAUCACUGUGGUCUCUACCCAUCAUGGAGACCCUCUCACUCACUCACUCGCCCACUCACUCACAGUGUGACCUUGGGAAGCCACUGAACUGAUCUAGUCUCUCUCCCAUAAAAUGGACUAAUGGUUGCAUCUCCCCCGAGAGCUUGGCAGAAGGGUUAAAAUUAAUAUGUACUGAAUGCUAUUGAUUAUAUAAAGUUAUUAUAUGU